rnacentral:tRNA from 1 species
UGUUCUGUGGCAAAGUUGGUUAACGCACGCGAAUUGAGGAGACAAGGGUUCAAAUCCCUCCAGAACAA